UACGUAGGGGGCAAGCGUUGUCCGGAUUUAUUGGGCGUAAAGAGCGUGUAGGCGGCCCGGUAGGUCAGCUGUGAAAACUCGAGGCUCAACCUCGAGACGCCGGUUGAAACCAUCUGGCUAGAGUCCGGAAGAGGAGAGUGGAAUUCCUGGUGUAGCGGUGAAAUGCGCAGAUAUCGGGAAGAACACCCGUGGCGAAGGCGGCUCGCUGGGACGGUACUGACGCUGAGACGCGAAAGCGUGGGGAGCGAACAGG
rnacentral:rRNA from 1 species